UCGGAUGAUAAUCGAUCGAUCGAAUCGAUCUUGAAAUUUGAAAAAGAUCAAGUGGAAAAGGAGAUUAGAUAGACGAUCGAUUUUUUGAGAUUUCCUCUGAUACGAGACGGCGGGGCGAGUUGGAAAAAAUUGCUGGAAGAAAGAUAAUGGAUUUUUUGGUAGAUUUAUUGCGAGCUUGAUAAGACUUGGCACAUUCGCGCGAGUGUAAAAAAUGAAAUAACGUUGUCGAUGUACACAGGGUUUAUAGUCUGUUGGACGACAGUCGACGGGAUGAUAAAUUAAAUUGUGAUCUAUAUCGGACAUAUUGCGAAAAGCAUUAUCGAUCCGUCAUUGUGUUUCAAGUUAGGCAACGCGAUACAGAUAUCAAAGUUAUGAGUCCCAGUAUCAUCGAGGAAGCACAUACGAUGGACAAUGUGUCUCGAUUAUAAUUGAAACAGAGUUCCUUGUCGUUGCAUCUCCUGAAAAGGGAAUAAAAGCGGAAUAUUGAAAAAUAAACGGAUAUGUACGCAUGCGGUGAAUAACGAAGUGUUCGAUCAAAUUGCCGUCUGCGAUCCGACGGUCGUUAAAAAUAAAUUAUCUCCGGAAUAAAUUUAAUAAAUAUAUCCGCGCGAUCCUCUCUCUCUCUCGUUUGCGCGCGCGAAUCAAUAUAUCGCGUAUAUGUAAAAUUGUAACUCGUAAUUGAAUAAAAUUCAAUCCGCAGCGGAAUAUUACUCACCACUUCUCGAUGAAUAUCACCACGAGGCCGGUGAUGAUUUUAUCGAGGAACGUGACGAUAGAAUACACGAGCGCGCUGCGUUCCGUUCUGGAGCCGAUUAAUUCGGCGGUGACGCUCAAUGCGGUGACCAUCGUAAUGGAGCUUCCCGCGCCAAUUAAUACGGCGAUGACGUAGACGACCGUCGUGUUACCCGCGACAAAUUCCGUCACCACCGACGCCGUUAAGCCGACCGUGGCUCCGAGAAGAUAGCACACCUAUUUUCGAUUCGACGAAACGAAAAUACAGAUUCAUUUUUCUCCUUUUUAUUUUCCUCUCCUUAUUUUACCCUCUUAAAUUGAAUCACGGCAAAAGUCAUUGAAUAAUCCUUCUGUCAUUUGCAUAAUUCUUCAUCAACGUGUAGAUGGGAUUUUUCAUAUAUUUCACUACGGACAAUUUAUUCUUUAUCAUCUGCUAGACAACACACAUUAUUGUUUUCUCUCUUUAUAUUUUACAAAGUUUCUAAAUAUAAAAGCUUUUGUACUCCAGACAAAGAAAAAUUGCAUUACGUUUUUAACAUUUAAAAUUGCAUUUGGAUUCUCGGGUAUUCAUCGAGCAUUGACAGAAGGAUUAAAUUGGCAAAGGAUUAAAAAAUGUCGAACGUCGAUGAAACAUUCACUGACCUACGGUGAAAACGCUCACAUUUUCUUUUUUUUCGUCUUAUAUCUCACGGAUUACGACAAUCAAAUUUCGUACAACAACUAAAAUUCAAACGAAGAAUAUACACAUAUUAUGCUUUUUUAUUUUAAGUCACAAACAUGUGAUAAAAUGAAUGAGACGUGUGUUUCAUUGAACUUGGAUAUUUCUUCAACAAAAUAUAUCGUUAUAAAUUUAAGGAUAUAACUUUCACUUUACUUUUAGACAGCUAUGACUGAAAACAUACUGCUCUGUCAGUACUAAUGCACUGACUCCAUUUAAGAGGGUGUCAUCAAAGACUUACCUUGGUACCGCAACUUCUGUUGAUGUAUUUAAGUAGCAAAGCAGCCACAAAUGAGGAUACGUACGAGACUAAUGGCACAGUGGCUAACGCUUGCUUGCCUCCGAUUUCGGUCUCCUCUAUAUACAGAGGCAGGUAUACGGUGCUGAGAGUGAUGAAUAAUCUACUUGCUACGUAGAGCAUCGCGACUCUCAAUAAAAUCGAGAUACCGAUCCAUGAUAUUCGAUGGUUCGUCAAAUUGUCCAAUGAAAUCGGCUCCUCGAUGUUCGCUUUCGAGGACGUUGCUCGCUCCAGAAGGUUCGCUUUCAGAAAAAUGUGAAAAAAGACUGUCGCGGUGACGCCGAGAGUCGUGAGAACCAGAACGAUAUUCUGAAAGAUAUAAAAUUCAAUUCUACAAUUUACAAGUUACAAUUUCUUUGUUGGCGCACGCAACUUCUAUCAACGUACUCUGAAUUUAUAAUCGUCCUGCUGAUCCAACUGAACCAUCGACUCUCCAUUACUUGAUAGAAAGAGAAGGAGAGAGAAAAGAGAAUGCUACAAUUCACAUACCUUAUUGCGGUCAAAUCGGCUCGAGCCAAGAGAGAAUUAGUUAACGAGGGAAUCAUUGAUAGAUGAGAGAUCUGUACGGCUGCCCAACCCGUUUGAAAUAUUGUAAUACUCGUUAUGUACAAAAACAUGGCAGUGGUAGGGGAUGAAUUGGAGAAAACCGCCGAAUAUUAUGGGAAAGGACAGAGUGACCAUGAUGGAACGAGGACGUGCCAGAUCUUUUUCUUGCAGUAAUGAUCGACCAGGAAACCAAACACGGGUGUCGCAAUCGCGUCGAUGAUUUGUCCUUGAAUGAAAAUCGUUUCGACAUUAAUCAGUAGCUAACGAUGUAAGAUAACGUCGUUAUUUAUACGUGUGUACGAAUAAUUGGACGCGUACCUAGGAGUAAAAGCGCACCGGCGACGACGGGUUUUAACAAUGCCACUCGUUGAAGAUAAAUUAGGGUAUAAGAGAACCACAUUGCGGCUGCCAAAUCGUUGAAGACGUGUCCAAGAGCAUAAGCGAGUUUUGUGGACGUCGCUAUUUUUCCGCUGUCCACGAGACGCGUUCGUUCGUUGGCGUUAUCCAUUUUAUUUUCUUUUUUUAAGACCCUGCGUAUUUUACAGGCUGUAGAGAUGAUGAAAACUUUCACAAUUCCGGUGAAUCCAUCAUGUUAUUCCGAUUUGUCGCGAAAAGUAAUAUCGCGUCCUCGUAAUAUCUGCGGGAAAAUGAAAUCAGGAUAAAUAAGAUGGAAAUUAAAAUCUAAUAAGAAGUUUCGCGCGGGAAAGAAACAUUUCUGAUCCAAUAUAGCGCGGAUUAAAAGAUUAAGGGUAUAACAAGUUCGAAACUUAAAUAGCAAAGAUUUCUUUUACUUUGUACGAUAACCAAAAGAAAUGUCUAUCGACGUUGGUUCUGUCUAAGGCAAACCUGCGGUCAACGUUCCUUUCACUUAAUUAGAUUUUGCUGCAAGCUAUUUUCCCUUAGGAGAAUUUCUCGUUAGGAGUUCGACUAAUCACAGUUGCGUGAUUAGUUAUGGAUUAGUUUACGAAAAGCAGAUGUGUAUCAGCGUACCGUAAUAUCACACGAGGGAUUAAAUAUAGAUCGUGUAUCGAUAAUAGCAUGUAUCAUUACAAUAAUGACGUCAAUUCGACCCAAUUGUUCAACAUAUGACUCAUUAAGAGUGACAUGUAAUUACAGGAAAAUUCAAUUGAAAAAAAACUCUGACACAAAAAUUGCAAAAUAA